rnacentral:rRNA from 1 species
CGCGGCCUAUCAGCUUGUUGGUGGGGUAACGGCCUACCAAGGCAUCGACGGGUAGCUGGUCUGAGAGGACGAUCAGCCACACUGGGACUGAGACACGGCCCAGACUCCUACGGGAGGCAGCAGUGGGGAAUAUUGCGCAAUGGGCGAAAGCCUGACGCAGCAACGCCGCGUGGGGGAUGAAGGCCUUCGGGUUGUAAACCCCUUUCAGCAGGGACGAAAAUGACGGUACCUGCAGAAGAAGCCCCGGCCAACUACGUGCCAGCAGCCGCGGUAACACGUAGGGGGCAAGCGUUGUCCGGAUUUAUUGGGCGUAAAGAGCUCGUAGGCGGUUGCGUAAGUCGGAUGUAAAAACUCAGGGCUCAACCCUGAGACGCCAUCCGAUACUGCGCUGACUAGAGUCCGGUAGAGGAGCAUGGAAUUCCUGGUGUAGCGGUGAAAUGCGCAGAUAUCAGGAGGAACACCGGUAGCGAAGGCGGUGCUCUGGGCCGGUACUGACGCUGAGGAGCGAAAGCGUGGGUAGCGAACAGGAUUAGAUACCCUGGUAGUCCACGCCGUAAACGUUGGGCACUAGGUAUGGGGCCUACUUAACGGGUUCCGUGCCGUAGCUAACGCAUUAAGUGCCCCGCCUGGGGAGUACGG